CUUGAAAUCACAAAAACCUCAUUUCCUUUCUCUUACUCUACCCAAAAAUAUUCUUAACAUCCUUCUAAAGUUCUAAACCUCGGAGAUCUAGGCGAAGUUCUGUCCAUAACGCUAGCCUUUUAGGAAGCUAACAAUUUCGAUUGUUUUAUCAAGACGCAAGGUAAGUAGAAUCCUCAUCUACAAUACAAGUCUUUUAUGUGUCUUAUGUGCAUUUAUAUGCUUUAUAUGUUAUCCUGCCAUGUUCUUAUGCAUAAGUUAUUUUCAAGAAUGUUAUAAUUAUUAUGCAUAAGCAUGCUUAAUGUUCACAGACAAGUUACUGAAAGCGUUAAAGUAGAGGUGCUGCUUGGGAGACCUAAGUCCCAAAUAAGUAAGGAGGGAGAUGUACGUCCCUAUAUAAUGAAUGUUUAUGAGGGAGAAAUUCCCUAUUAUCAUGUUAUGUUCAGGUGGGAAUGUGAUUCCCUAUGUAAUGCCGGCAGCAGCAUCCUCUAGGGCCCAAAAGAAAGGAAAGUGAAAGAAAGAAAAUACAUAGCAUGUUGCAUGUUUAUUUUAAUGCAUAUGAGGUAAGUAGAAUCCUCAUCUACAAUACAAGUCUUUUAUGUGUCUUAUGUGCAUUUAUAUGCUUUAUAUGUUAUCCUGCCAUGUUCUUAUGCAUAAGUUAUUUUCAAGAAUGUUAUAAUUAUUAUGCAUAAGCAUGCUUAAUGUUCACAGACAAGUUACUGAAAGCGUUAAAGUAGAGGUGCUGCUUGGGAGACCUAAGUCCCAAAUAAGUAAGGAGGGAGAUGU